AAACCAGCACCUCAAGUGGUCAGGAGGAUUAUUGGGCCUAAAGCAUCCGUAGCCUGUUCUGUAAGUUUUCGGUUAAAUCCACUAGCUCAACUAGUGGGCUGCCGAAAAUACUGUAGAACUAGGGAGUGGGAGAGGUAGACGGUAUUCGGUAGGAAGGAGUAAAAUCCUUUGUUCUAUUGAGGACCACCUGUGGCGAAGGCGGUCUACCAGAACACGUUCGACGGUGAGGGAUGAAAGCUGGGGGAGCAAACCGGAUUAGAAACCCGAGUAGUCC
rnacentral:rRNA from 1 species